CUCUGAUAGUCUCUAAACGUCUCUAACAGACUCUGAUAGUCUCUGAUGGUCUCUGAUGGUCUCUAAUCGAGUCUGAUGGUCACUGAUGGUCUCUGAUGGUCUCUAAUCGAGUCUGAUGGUCUGUAAUCGUCUCUAAUGGUCACUGAUGGUCUCUGAUGGUCUCUUAUCGAGUCUGAUGGUCUCUAAUCGACUCUGAUGGUCUUUAAUCGUCUCUUAAUAGACUCUGAUAGUCUCUGAUAGUCCCUGAUAGUCUCUAAACGUCUCUAACAGACUCUGAUAGUCUCUGAUGGUCUCUAAUAGUCUGUAAUCGUCUCUGGUGUCUCUUAUAGUCUCUAAUCAUUUCUGAUGGUCUCUAAUAGUCUCUGAUGGUCUCUAAUCGUCUCCAAUAGUCUCUGAUGGUCUCUAAUAGUCUCUGAUGGUAUCUGAUGAUCUCUAAUAGUCUCUGAUGGUCUGUAAUCGACUCUGAUAGUCUCUGAUGGUCUCUAAUAGUCUCUGAUGGUCUCUGAUGAUCUUUAAUAGUCUCUGAUGGUCUGUAAUCGACUCUGAUAGUCUCAGAUGGUCUUUAAUAGUCUCUGAUGGCAUCUAAUAGUCUCUAAUCGUCUCUGAUGGUCUUUAAUAGUCUCUGAUGGUCUCUAAUAGACUCUGAUAGUCUCUGAUGGUCUGUAAUAGUCUCUGAUGGUCUCUAAUAGUCUUUGAUGGUCUCUAAUAGUCUCUAAUCGUCUCUGAUGGUCUUUAAUCGUCUCUAAUAGACACUGAUAGUCUCUGAUGGUCUCUUAAUAGUCUCUGAUGGUCUCUAAUAGUCUCUAAUUGUUUCUGAUAGUCUCUGAUGGUGUCUAAUAGUCUCUGAUGGUCUCUGAUGGUCUCUGAUGGACUCUGAUGGUCUUUAAUCGACUCUGAUAGUCUCAGAUGGUCUUUAAUAGUCUCUGAUGGUCUCUUAUAGACUCUGAUGGUCUCUGAUGGUCUCUAAUAGUCUUUGAUGGUCUCUAAUAGUCUCUGAUGGUCUUUAAUCGUCUCUAAUCGUCUCUGAUGGUCUUUAAUCGUCUCUAAUAGACACUGAUAGUCUCUUAAUAGUCUCUGAUGGUCUCUGAUGGUGUCUAAUAGUCUCUGGUGGUCUCUAAUUGUCUCUGAUGGUCUCUGAUGGACUCUGAUGGACUCUGAUGGACUCUGAUGGACUCUGAUGGACUCUGAUGGACUCUAGUCUUUGAUGGUCUCUGAUGGUCUUUAAUAGUCUCUGGUGGACUCUGGUGGACUCUGGUGGACUCUGGUGGACUCUGGUGGACUCUGGUGGACUCUGGUGGACUCUGAUGGUCUCUGAUGGUCUCUGAUGGUCUCUGAUGGUCUCUAGUCUUUGAUAGUCUUUAAUAGUCUCUGAUGGUCUCUAAUAGUUUCUAAUCGACUCUGAUAGUCUUUGAUGGUCUCUAAUCAACUCUAUAAUUUACUCAAUCUUUCCCCUCCUGUGUAUUGGGCGGGGUCAGGAGGAUUCAGUCAGUGUAUUUAUAUACAGGUAUAUAUAUUUAUUUCAAAGAAGCGUGUUUAUAAGGUGGUACCUUCUGAGGGGUGGGCUUCCGGCCGGAGGAUUUUGGGGGAGAGGGGGGCAGCAUACAGGGGGGAGACCCCAGAGAGACUCCUCUUACCCCCCCGAACCAGAGAGGGGGCGUCCAGAGUCUCCUGCUUCACUGAAACACAGAAAAACUACUAACUCAAUAUAAACACAGGACACUCCGUACUCAGGUGAGACUCGCUGUGUCCCUGACUUCCUGUGGGAGAAAAACCGCUACGUGGGUCUGGAGGUAGUUUAUACAUUAAUGUUGAGAAGGAAAUCCCAUAAUAACAGUGUGUGUGCAGUGAUCACCUGACUUCCUGUGGUAGAAGCUGAAUGGCUGGCUGCUGAACAGACUGUCACAUUGUAGCUGUCGACACAUGUUCUCCAGGAAGCGGAGCACGAAGGACGCACUGGAGGCUGAGGGCAGCCGGACCACCCGGACCCCACCCUCCGUCCUCACUGUAAAGAGAGGAGCGCCCCCACCCCCGGCCUGGCUCUGCAGGUUGUUCAGCAGGACUAAGGGCUGGGGGCUGCAGCCGAUGCAUGCCUGCACCACCUGCUGCAGAACGGCAUUUACAGGACCCGGGCCAAAGUGAUCCGGCAGACGCUGCAUCUGCUUCCUGUCCAGGGGCCUGCAGGCUGUGCUUGGUGAGCAGCACCAGCCCACGGGGAACAUGUCUCUGGAGUCGUAGGGGCACCAGUAGUCGAAAGCCCCCCUCCAGCCGUCGAACAUGACGAACACCUCGUCGCCCUUCACCUCCCCCACGGGUCGCCGGACAGAUCAGAUGUUCAUUAGAGGAACCUUUUUAAAGGCAGAGGCUGGAGCCAUCUCCGCUCCAUUCAGGGUCCUGAGCAGGAACAUGGGCCAGGAGGAGGCGUUCAUCCGGAACCCUGG